UGUAGUUGAAAAUAGAAGAGAAAAUAAGAAAGAAGAAAAAAAUAAGGAAGAAAAAGCUUAUGAGGGUGAAGUUGAAAAGAGAGUGGAGAAUGAGUCUAGUGCCAAGAAAGGCAAGAAACCUCUUGUGAAGGACCCCAAGUUUCAAGUUCCUUCACCAUAUGCUAGAGUGCCUUAUCCUAGGAUGAAGAGGGUCAAGAACCAAGACCUUGAAUUUUGUGGAGUGGUAUCCGAAUGUUUCAAAGUGGAAGUGCUAGAGGAAGUGGUAAAAGAUGGGAAAGAAGAAGAGUGGGAU
rnacentral:lncRNA from 1 species